UUCGAAUAGUUUAAUAACUCUUUUGAAAUUUGAAAAUUAAAAAAAAAAAAAAUUAAGUUCGAGUACUAUCUGCUCAAAAUUGUAUCAAAGAUUUUAUGAAACAGUGUGUGACCGAAAUAAUCUAAAUGACACUGUCAUUGACUAUCGUUGGGAUUUUGAAUGCUAAAAUGACUGUUGAUAGUCGCUUCCCGAAAUAUGGAUUUCUCGGAAUUUCAAAACUUGAAUAUGUGUAUUAAUAUCCAUUUCACUUUAAAAUUUAAAUCACAUGAAAAGCGAUUUUCGAUUUUAUAAAUCAACAGCUGACAUUCGAACAUGAAACAUGUAAUAGAAAGGGCAUAAAAUCAAGACAAAUAACCCAAACAAUAUAUAAGUAAGAUAUAUUUAACAACGAAAUCACAGAAAUACAUUUAUAACAAAUAACGACAACUAAAUGCCGAAUAACAAGCAUAAAAGCAACAAAAGCUGAACAACAACUUAAAUGUUAACUGUCAGCAAGCGUAGCUAACAUUAUGAAUAGCCAAAGUGGGCGUCCAAACAGGCGACCGCCCAACAUGAUUUACAGUAUCACGGUCACGGUCACACGACUGACAGUGUUACGCCGACACGCCAGAUAAAUACUUAAAUACAUAUAAUAUGUACAUUUACAUAUAUAUAUAUAUAAUAAAUGGAGCAGUGGCACGUAUGCUUGCGUCGCGAUACGAGCUGUACGGCAUCGACUUGCAAUGCCACAAAAUUUACGCCGAAAUUCGAGAAAUCGAGUGCAGCGGCAACGUUCAACCAGCAUUUACCGAUUUCAGAUAGCGGAAAAUUGGAGCACCCGCUUUUGGCAUGCAGCAGAGGCUACUCUGUGUCACUUGCUUUGCCUGGUUUGGCCAGACUGGUUUAGCUUGGUUUUGUAGCUAUAACAAAAGUUACAAAGAUUUUUGGAAUUUCUACUUUAAAAUUUUCAUGUUGCGUUGUUGUUGUUGUGCGAUGUCAUGUGCUGCAUGCGCGACCACCGAAAGCGUUUGUUGUCAUCUUAAUUUACCAGCCCUUUAACAUAUUUGGGUUUAAGUUGUUGUUGUUGGUUACAAGUUGACUUUAAUUGUUGCUAUUAUUAUUUUUGUAAAUGCRUCUGUUAAGAGGUAUUGUUAUAAUACAAUGAAAGUCAUUUGUUCCCAAGAUUUUUGGUGUUUAUAAUGUAUUAUUUGUUGCGUAGGGUGUUGGUAUAGGGUUGCCACAGCACAAAAAUUUUGUAAACAAUUUUAUUAUUUAAAAAAAUUAAAUUCAAAUAAGCUGAAAUAUAAAAUUCGAGGAACCUAAAUUCUUAAAUUCUAUGUUUUCAUGUUUUCCAUAUUAAGUGAAGUGUAAAAUUAGAGGUUAUAGUUGAAGAGUCAUGAAUGAAACCGAACUGGAAUUGUCCCGCAAAGGAAUAGAGCUCAUUAAUAUCAAAAAUAUAAAUUCUAGAAGCUAAAUUCUAUGUUUCUAUGACCUCCAUGUUAAGGAGUUUAUAAUUUGAGGUUAUGGUUGAACAGUCAUAACUGCAAUUGAACUGGAAUUGUUCCGUAAAGGAAUAAAGCUCAAAUAUUUCUAUGUUUUUGCCUUGAGAAUGAAAUAAAAGUUUGAAGUUAUCGUUGAUCGGCCUUAACUGAAACUACAAUAGUAGAAACUGUUGGCUAAAGUGUUUUUCUUAUAUUUUGAAUAAAUAGAAGUAAUAUAAAAUAUUAAAUUUUGUGAAAAAUAAUUUUCAAUAUUUUAUUCGUAAUAAUGACAACCCAGUUCGCUCUUGUUUCCCUGCAUCAACAUAUGUGUCUCUUUCAAAUAUUACACACCCAGGCAUUCUCCUAUAAAAAGUCAUUCAAAUAUUUAAAGUGGAAUUAUCAUAAUUUAUGUUUCAAUUGAGUCGAUUUGACAUUCACUUUGACAGUUGUGGCAACUGUAGCGCUUUGUGCUGCAACAAAUGCAUCAAUAACAAUUCCGCUUACAAUAUAUUUUCAAGUGGUGAAUUGUCAUAUAUUUUAUAUACACCUUUGUAAAGAGACACCAGUUGCAAUAAGAGCUUAUCUCGUACACUCAUCUAGCAUUGUCGACAAAGUGUCAAAGUUAUGCAAAGCUGUGCUUGAGAUAUGCGCCAUUUUCAUAAGUGUGUUAAUUAGAUACCAAAACAUAUUCGCAUUUUUCAACACAAGUUAACAGCUUGUUGCAUAACUCAUAGUCGUUUUAAUUUGAUAUGUGAAUGAAACAAAUCGAUGUGACUGUAAUUUUUGACAUAUUUCAAACGUUUGCAAUUCCAUCUGAGUUAAGUGUGUGUGUAGAGUGGUGGUGUAAGCAUAAAUUAACACAUAUUUAUGUGGAAAUAAAAAUUAUUUUUAAUUUGUGUAGUGUAGUAGGCGCAGUAUUUAAAAUAGCAGACAUGACUUCAUCUAGUUGUUAUUGAUCAGGGUUGUUUGUAUAUGUCUCUUUUUUUCUGCACGAUUUUUAGAAUUACAACUAUGAUGUGGAAUGUGACUAGCAGCGCCAAGGUUAAUGCAUUCAAUCAAUUUUUCACUGCUAUAAUCAGUAAUAUUAUGAAAAUUCCACAAAUUCUUUGCAGUCUUACGCUAUGGCUUUUUAAAUACUUGAAAAUAGGCUUUGUAUUUACAUUUGUGGUACACAAGGACUGAAAAUGGAAACACUUAUUUUAUGGAGUCACUACCAUGGUAUUGUUUCUAGGAACCUAAAUUCUAUAUUUCUAUGUUUUCCGUAUUCAGUUUAAGUUAAAAAUUAGAAAUUUUGAUUGAAAAGUCAUGAUUGUACAUGUACUGCAAUGGAAAUAAAGGAAUAAAGCUAUGUUUAUAUGUUUUUCGCCUUAAGAAUGAAAUAAACAUCAGAGGUUAGCAUUGAUUGGCCAUGACUGAAACUGCUAUGAAGUGUUGGUUGAAAUAUGUUUCUAAUGUUCUAAAUGUAAAUCAGAUUGUUUUAAGAAAUUUCUUUAGUUUUUUUUCGUAUUAAAAGCAUUUUUUAGUAAAUAAACCGCUUGAACUCUUGAAAUUUAAAACUAAUUCUAAACUUAAUAAUUUUAAAACGAAAUUCCGAGUAAUCCUUUUAUAAGUAUUAAUGCCAAAGCGUACAUAAAAAACAGUACUAUUUUCAGGAUUCAUUCAAAUGCUAAAAAAUUCUUGGAUAGAAUUUUUGGAAAGAAUAGAAGAAAGUAAUUGAAUGUACAGAUUCUUAAAUCUAUGCUACUUUUCCAAAAUAUGUUGAUAUCUUAUUAGAAAAAGCCUUGUAAUUCUUAGCGGAAUCUUGCUUUUAAAUGGUGAUCAACGAUCCAUAACUUUGUAGACCCAUUUAGUUGUGUUGAGGACCUAAACCCCGGUCUUUAAUACGACUGCUUAAAAAAAGAAGCUUCCUUCCGAUCAAAGUUUACACAACAGAUAGACUUGGGAGUUCCAAUUGCAAAAUUGCAAGGUGAUGGAAGAAGGUAAAUACUAAAAUGCUUUGAGAAAUGCAUUUAACACAUCUUAGCCAGGUAAUUAAGAAGAUUUUGCUUUGCACGUUUCAAGCAUGUGGUAUAAUUUUUUGGUUUUAAGGGGCACUCUUAGUGUAACAGCCUAGAAAAUGCGAUUUUUCGGUAAAAAAAAAAAAA